UGUAAUAUGGUUAAUAUUUAAGAACAAAGUUAUUGUAAAAUCCAUUAUUCAUACUUUUUAUCCACUACAUUUUUUCAUAUUUUAAUAUUAAUUUAAUAAUCGAUAAUUAAUAUAAUUUGAUAUAGUUAAAUUUAUUAAAAUAAAAAUAUUUUGAUUAUAAAAUUCAAACCAAACCCAAAUCCAAAUAGGUUGGUUUGGGUUGGAUUAAAAAUAUUUGGGUUAGUUUGGGUUGAGUCCAAAUUUUUAUAAUUUGGUUUGGAUUGACUUAAAACCCAACCCAAAACAACUCAUGCCCACCCCUAGUUGUUGCUAUGUAAUUGUAUGUCAUGCUUGCAAGUGCGUUGUAACAGAUUGCUGAGCUGGCACCAGAUAUUUUAAGCUAAUAUUAGUAAUUAGUCUAGAGUGUUCCGAUUUAUUCUAUAAAUAGCUAGCUUAGAACCUUUAAGGUGUAUCGUAUGUUUUUGUUACACUCUAGAGCUUAGAACCUCGAGAGUGUUCCAAUUUUCUCUAUUCCCUUUUCUUUCACUUUCUCUUCCAUUUUCACGACCCCCAAACACCAUUAAUCCAUGCUUUUCUAGAGUAUUAGCUGUCUAUUUCUACAAACAUAGAAUUGAUGUUUGUUUGUCUUAUUACUUCCAAGAAACAAACUUAACAAAGUACGUUGUCCUGUCACCCAUGGUCUCCUCGUUUAUCGACUUGUGAAUAGGGCUAAAUAAACGGCAAAUAAAAUAUUGGGCCAAUGGGCCUAACAUGACAAGAUCUUGAAUUGAUUGUCUCUUUUUUUCUCCAUAAAUCUUUGCUUAAUUUUUUUUGUUCCCUCAACCUUUUUGGGCCUUUUGCGCUAAAAUUCUCUUCUGAUACAUUAUACAAAAAUAAUGAAGAAAAUGAGUUACUUUAGAACAUCAAUAAAUUUUGACAACAUCUAAAAUAAGACAAUUACACUUAGGGGUUGUUUUUUUUUUUUUUUUUUUUAACUUAAUGACUUAAUUGACUUAAUUUUUUUCAUGUCUAUCCUAAAACUUACCCAUAGACAUUUACCCCACAUAAUAAUCUCAUCAUUAAUUUUACUUAUAAAUUUUAAAAUAUUGUGGUAUUUAAUAUAUUAUUUAUUUGACAUUCAAAUUUAAUAAGGAUACAAAUGUAAAAGUACAUAUUUUCAGUUUUUUAAGUUUAAAAAAACAAACAACUUAAUACUUAUUUUCUGAGAUUCAGACGAAAAAACAAAUAUAUUAUUCAGAUUCAGACAUUCAGAUCUAUUCAGAAUUCAGACUAAUUCAGAUUUAUUCAGAUUUCAGAUAAAAAAACAAACGCCACCUAAGUCUGUUGUUUUGUCAACUUAAUGAUAAUUUUCAGUCAUUAAGUUAUUAAGCUAAUUUUUUUUAAACUUUUUGCUUAACCCAAAAAGCUUAAAUGAUAUCAUUAAAAGAUAUUCUCCAAAAUAUUCCUAUCUAAUUAAUUAAUUUUCAUCUUUACCUAAAUAAAAUUUAAUAACUAGUUAUAUUAGCCAUCUAUAUAUAGUGGUAGACUAUUAUUAUUUUUAUCUUUUUAUGUUCUUCAAAUUAGCAUUAUUUGUCUUCAUAAUUUCGUAUGAAUAUUUUUCAUAUAAAAACAUCACAGACCAUAAUAAAAUUGAUUAACACAUAUAAUAUAAAAUAUUAAAGAAUUGUAUUCAAUUUAAUAUGAUUUAUGUUAUGAUAAUUUAUUAUCUUAUUUAUAUUAUUUGAGAUGUUUAUCAUUUGUUUAACAUUAAAAUUUAUAAGGAAAUAAAUGUAAAAAUAUUAGUUUUCAAUUUUUUUAAGUUAAAAGAAAAGCUUAAUAUUUAUUUUUAAUGAUUCAGACAAAAAAAAAAUCAUUCAGAUUCAGACAAUUGGUUUUAUUCAGAAUUCAGACUAAUUUAGGUCUAUUCAGAUUUCAGAUAAAAAAAAUGUCACCUUAGAUUACUCUUAUUUAGUUGAAUUAUAUGUAAUAAAAUUGGUUUAACAAAAUCUAACUUGUAAAUAUUCCUUACAGCAUGAUAAACGUACUUAAAAAAUCUUAACUAAUCAGUUGUUUACUUUACAAUUCCUUUAUAUAUCUUGGAAACUUUUAGCUUCUUGACAUAUUAUAGUGUUCUCAAUUUGUCUAAAUUAUUUUUCUUCAAACACUAUAGCAACAACCGGUAUAAUACAGAACAAACUCAUUUACUGAAAAAUUUCUGGAUGCUUUCAUGGCAAAAUCUCAUUGAUCUAUUUCUCUUUGCACCUUUGAUUCAAGAUUUUUCUCUAUAACAAUGAUAUUCUCAUAACAGUGAGUACAAAGCUUAGUACAACAAGGACCCUUUUGCAAAUUAUUCAAAAUUUUUAUGCGAUUUUCGAAUUUAUGAUUUUUAUUAAUUUUGAUUUAUUGGAGCAUUUUUCCUUCCAUCUCUUCUACAUCUAUCCUUAAAUUUUUUUCAAAAUUUCGACUAUAUCUUUGUAAAGUUCUAAAUGAUUAUCUCGUUCAUAGAGAUCUAUAUUUAAAUUAAUUCAUGAAUUUAUAAUCAUUUGUCUUCUUUGAGUCAUAGACUAAAUCUUUUCUUCUAAUAUAUCUAUGUAUACUCCUAAGCUAUCUUCCUAGCUUAGAUACAUUUUAUCAAAGCUUUUGCAUAUAAAUUGUAAUUUGAGAUUCUGCAUCUUGAAUUAACAUCUCUAUAUUAUUAUUAUUAUCCAUUGUUUUAUUCUCGAUUUUGAGUUCUAUUGUUAGCCUAGCAUCUGUCUUGGAUUAUUUCGAGCCUAGAUAGAAUUGAUUCUAUUAAUGCUAUCUUGUUUUCUUCUUCAAAUGAAUCAAAUAUUUCUGGAUCAUUAAUUCUUUUCAUUUCUUCAUACAAGGUUUACUUGUAUUUAAUCUAGUUUUAACUAUGGAAAUUGUAUAAGCAACUUGAUAUUCUCGACUAAAGUCUAAAUGAUCAAUUGCAUCUACAAAUUUAUUAACAAAUCUUUCCAUUUUUAUGAAAUUGAGUUACUCUUAUCACUUCCUAUCUUAUAACAUCUCAGAAAAACAAACAAGGCCCAACAUGCUUCCGUUUGUAGCUGAAAUAAAAGAAAAAAAAUUUAAGAUUACUAACCGGUGUACUCUCUCAGAAUUCUGAGAUAGAUUCACUAAUUGCUUCCAACCAUAGAAAGGUCCAUGGUCAGCACCGUCAUAGCUCCACACAUCAUACAAGAUCACUUCAAUGACUAUUCCACAUGGCCCAAUGCAACACACAUCAAACUGGCCUAAUAUGAUAUGUCUAAGUGAUUUCCUUGCAGUUGACUUUGGGAGAGUGCUUAGUAAUAGAAAAUCUUCUUCGUUUAGCACAAGUAUUGGCAUGUAAGAUUCUUGGUUAAUUUCUAAGAAUAUAUAAAAUAUUUGGAAGUUGAUAAUUUCACUCAAAAGAGUUUUAUUUAUUUCAUCAUUGAUAUUGCUUGCAAAGGGUGGUUACAGAGAAUACAGAUAAGGGUGAAGGUUAGACAUGUGAUGU
rnacentral:lncRNA from 1 species